ACGAACGCUGGCGGCGUGCUUAACACCUGCAAGUCGAACGGAAAGGCCCUGCUUUUGUGGGGUGCUCGAGUGGCGAACGGGUGAGUAACACGUGAGUAACCUGCCCUUGACUUUGGGAUAACUUCAGGAAACUGGGGCUAAUACCGGAUAGGAGCUCCUGCUGCAUGGUGGGGGUUGGAAAGUUUCGGCGGUUGGGGAUGGACUCGCGGCUUAUCAGCUUGUUGGUGGGGUAGUGGCUUACCAAGGCUUUGACGGGUAGCCGGCCUGAGAGGGUGACCGGCCACAUUGGGACUGAGAUACGGCCCAGACUCCUACGGGAGGCAGCAGUGGGGAAUAUUGCACAAUGGGCGGAAGCCUGAUGCAGCAACGCCGCGUGCGGGAUGACGGCCUUCGGGUUGUAAACCGCUUUCGCCUGUGACGAAGCGUGAGUGACGGCAAUGGGUAAAGAAGCACCGGCUAACUACGUG
rnacentral:rRNA from 1 species